rnacentral:rRNA from 1 species
CCUACGGGAGGCAGCAGUGAGGAAUAUUGGUCAAUGGCCGGAAGGCUGAACCAGCGAUGCCGCGUGAAGGUCAGUGCCCUAUGGGCGUUAAACUGCUGUUGUGCGGGAGCAAAAAUGGUCACGGGUGGCCAGACGAGAGUACCGUACGAAUAAGCAUCGGCUAACACCGUGCCAGCAGCAGCGGUAAUACGGGGGAUGCAAGCGUUAGCCGGAGUAGUUGGGUUUAAAGGGUGCGUAGGCUGUGAGGUAAGGCAGUGGUGAAAUGCCCCCGCUCACCGGGGUGAAGUGCCAUUGAUACUGCCUUGCUGGAAUGCGGAUGCCGUGAGAGGAAUGUGUGGUGUAGCGGUGAAAUGCAUAGAUAUC